GAGUUUGAUCAUGGCUCAGAUUGAACGCUGGCGGCAGGCCUAACACAUGCAAGUCGAACGGUAACAGGAAGAAGCUUGCUUCUUUGCUGACGAGUGGCGGACGGGUGAGUAAUGUCUGGGAAACUGCCUGAUGGAGGGGGAUAACUACUGGAAACGGUAGCUAAUACCGCAUAACGUCGCAAGACCAAAGAGGGGGACCUUCGGGCCUCUUGCCAUCGGAUGUGCCCAGAUGGGAUUAGCUAGUAGGUGGGGUAACGGCUCACCUAGGCGACGAUCCCUAGCUGGUCUGAGAGGAUGACCAGCCACACUGGAACUGAGACACGGUCCAGACUCCUACGGGAGGCAGCAGUGGGGAAUAUUGCACAAUGGCGCAAGCCUGAUGCAGCCAUGCCGCGUGUAUGAAGAAGGCCUUCGGGUUGUAAAGUACUUUCAGCGGGGAGGAAGGGAGUAAAGUUAAUACCUUUGCUCAUUGACGUUACCCGCAGAAGAAGCACCGGCUAACUCCGUGCCAGCAGCCGCGGUAAUACGGAGGGUGCAAGCGUUAAUCGGAAUUACUGGGCGUAAAGCGCACGCAGGCGGUUUGUUAAGUCAGAUGUGAAAUCCCCGGGCUCAACCUGGGAACUGCAUCUGAUACUGGCAAGCUUGAGUCUCGUAGAGGGGGGUAGAAUUCCAGGUGUAGCGGUGAAAUGCGUAGAGAUCUGGAGGAAUACCGGUGGCGAAGGCGGCCCCCUGGACGAAGACUGACGCUCAGGUGCGAAAGCGUGGGGAGCAAACAGGACUAGAUACCCUGGUAGUCCACGCCGUAAACGAUGUCGACUUGGAGGUUGUGCCCUUGAGGCGUGGCUUCCGGAGCUAACGCGUUAAGUCGACCGCCUGGGGAGUACGGCCGCAAGGUUAAAACUCAAAUGAAUUGACGGGGGCCCGCACAAGCGGUGGAGCAUGUGGUUUAAUUCGAUGCAACGCGAAGAACCUUACCUGGUCUUGACAUCCACGGAAGUUUUCAGAGAUGAGAAUGUGCCUUCGGGAACCGUGAGACAGGUGCUGCAUGGCUGUCGUCAGCUCGUGUUGUGAGAUGUUGGGUUAAGUCCCGCAACGAGCGCAACCCUUAUCCUUUGUUGCCAGCGGUCCGGCCGGGAACUCAAAGGAGACUGCCAGUGAUAAACUGGAGGAAGGUGGGGAUGACGUCGAGUCAUCAUGGCCCUUACGACCAGGGCUACACACGUGCUACAAUGGCGCAUACAAAGAGAAGCGACCUCGCGAGAGCAAGCGGACCUCAUAAAGUGCGUCGUAGUCCGGAUUGGAGUCUGCAACUCGACUCCAUGAAGUCGGAAUCGUUAGUAAUCGUGGAUCAGAAUGCCACGGUGAAUACGUUCCCGGGCCUUGUACACACCGCCCGUCACACCAUGGGAGUGGGUUGCAAAAGAAGUAGGUAGCUUAACCUUCGGGAGGGCGCUUACCACUUUGUGAUUCAUGACUGGGGUGAAGUCGUAACAAGGUA
rnacentral:rRNA from 1 species